rnacentral:lncRNA from 1 species
AUAGAUUAUGUUUUAGUGAAUCAUUAAAACGGUGAUGAUGAUGAUGUUAGUAUCUGUGUAAACUGCACGCUAUAGUAGCACCCUAAAAACUUUAGGUGAUGAUGAUGAUGAUAGUAUCUGUGUAAACUGCACACUAUAGUAGCACCCUAAAAACUUUAGGUGAUGAUGAUAGUAUCCGUGUUGACCACACGCUAUAGUAGCACCCUAUUUACCUUGUAGUUCACUUAAACAACUGUAUAUGUUAUGUAUUAUAAAACAUAAGAUAUUUCUAAGUAGAAUUAUUGUUUUAUUUUCAGUUCACAGCUAAAACUUGGAACUACUUUAUUAUUUACUAUUGUGGUGUUUAAAUCUAAUUAUACUGUUAAAUUUUUAGAGAACUUGGGGAGUUUCUGAAUUUAAGAUGUGUAUUUAUUCCAUCUUCAGAGAAAAGAUACAUUUUGAUGAAAAUGUUUUUGUAGAUUGAUGUGUGGUGGUCUUGUUUCGGAAUUGUUCCUGUUAAAUUCUUUAUUUACUUUAAAAUGUUGAUUUGAAAUCAGGAUAAAGCUAAGUAACGAGGAAAUAACAUGUUAAUAUACAGUAAAUAUUUGAAUUAUAAUGAAUAUGUCUGUGUGCUGUAAAGUAAAUGUUUCAGUUGUGAUAUAGUUGCUUUUUGAUAAAUUCUAAUCAUUGCUCACCAUGAAAAAGGUCAGUUGCCUACUUUUUAUAUGCUCAUAAUGCCCCGUAUUUCAUUACUAACAUUGAUGUUAUGUACAUUAGAAAUGUGCUUUUUUGAAUCAAUAAUUGUAUAGUUAACAUAACAGAUAAAAGUGAGAUUUAAACAGCUAUCAAAUAACCAGUGAGUAAAUUACAUUACAGAGAAAGACAGUAAUGAUUUAGUUUACUAACAUUAUAGAAUAUAUUUAUCUCACUUACUGUCUUAUACAGAAUGUAGCACAAGGUACGUAGUGGGCUUACAUCAAACAGUUUACACUUAGUCUGUGGUGUGAUGUUACUUGUAUUACAAGGUACGUAGUGGACUUACAUCAAACAGUUUACACUUGGUCUGUGGUGUGAUGUUACUUGUAGUACAAGGUACGUAGUGGGCUUAUGUCAAACAGUUUACACUUGUCCCUGGUGUGAUGUUACUUGUAGCACAAGAUACCUAGUGAGCUUACAUCAAACAGUUUACACUUGGUCCGUGGUGUGACGUUACUUGUAGUACAAGGUACGUAGUGGGCUUACAUCAAACAGUUUACACUUGGUCCGUGGUGUGAUGUUACUUGUAGUACAAGAUACAUAGUGGGCUUAUGUCAAACUUGAGUAAUGUUUGACUUUAAUAAAUCACACACAGAUAUUCUUUAUUUUAUAAUAAAUGAUUAACUUGCUGCAUCUAAAACCAAAAUGCUCUUAAUAUUUGAUGAGUGUUCAGAAACUGGUGGUUAAGAUUUGAAGAUAAAAAGUUGUAUAAAUGUAGGUGUGAAUUCUGGUAAGAUGUACAUUAUUUUCACAUUUUACAGUUGAACGUGUUAGAUGCUGCUGUAUAUUUUAACAUUAAGAAAAUUUGAGGCAGUAACCUGCUUGUAAAGAGAUAUAUCGACUUCCUGCUUCUUUUCUUGUUACUGUGUUUAAUUUUGAUAGCCACUUUAUAAGAUAUUUGGUUAAUAAGUUUUACAAUCAUCUGUUGUAACUACUGGUUUAUGGCUCGGCUCUUUCAGACCAGAGUUUGUAUGAAAAACAUUCCUGGACCAAUUAAAACACUAGAAUUCUUGAAGGGAUGGGAACAGUUGCAAGUUAUUCUUUAAAGAUUUCUUUAAAUGUUAUGAGGAUUAAGCCAAUGUAAGAAUUCCUGUUGUUUCACGCAAACUUAGACAUUAAAACCUGUUUCAAUAGUAGUGUGCAAGUGAGUUUUGUUUCACAUAGAAAGUAGGCUUAAUCAUACACAAUAUUAAAUUGAAACAUUAUGUUCCUGGUUUUAAAUGUAUUUGCUUAUUAAGUUUAAUUUUUAUGUAUAUCCUGGCUCUGUUAUAUAGAAAACUAAAUAAAGUGAUAUGUUAUAAAUGUGUGAUGUUUAUGAGAUGUUAAAAUAUAUCAAAUCAAGAGAGAGUAAGACAACCAGUUGGUAUCGUUCAUAGAAGAAAUAAAAUAUAUUCAGAUCAUUCUUUUAAA